rnacentral:rRNA from 1 species
GUGCCAGCAGCCGCGGUAAUACGUAGGUGGCAAGCGUUGUCCGGAUUUACUGGGCGUAAAGGGUGCGUAGGUGGAUAUUUAAGUCAGAUGUGAAAUCCCUGGGCUCAACCCAGGGCCUGCAUUUGAAACUGGAUGUCUAGAGUGCGGGAGAGGUAAGUGGAAUUCCUAGUGUAGCGGUGAAAUGCGUAGAGAUUAGGAAGAACACCAGUGGCGAAGGCGACUUACUGGACCGUAACUGACACUGAGGCACGAAAGCGUGGGUAGCAAACAGGAUUAGAAACCCGAGUAGUCC